UACGGGGGGGGGCAAGCGUUGUUCGGAAUUACUGGGCGUAAAGGGCGCGUAGGCGGCGUGACAAGUCACUUGUGAAAUCUCCGGGCUUAACUCGGAACGGUCAAGUGAUACUGUCGUGCUAGAGUACAGAAGGGGCAACUGGAAUUCUCGGUGUAGCGGUGAAAUGCGUAGAUAUCGAGAGGAACACCUGCGGCGAAGGCGGGUUGCUGGGCUGAUACUGACGCUGAGGCGCGAAAGCUAGGGGGAGCGAACGGG
rnacentral:rRNA from 1 species